UAAUACAUCGGAACGUGUCUUCUAGUGGGGGAUAACUGCCCGAAAGGGCAGCUAAUACCGCAUGAGACCUGAGGGUGAAAGCGGGGGAUCGCAAGACCUCGCGCUGGAAGAGCGGCCGAUGUCCGAUUAGCUAGUUGGUGAGGUAAAGGCUCACCAAGGCGACGAUCGGUAGCUGGUCUGAGAGGACGACCAGCCACACUGGGACUGAGACACGGCCCAG
rnacentral:rRNA from 1 species